rnacentral:rRNA from 1 species
GAUGAACGCCGGCGGCGUGCCUAAUACAUGCAAGUCGAGCGAACGGACGAGAAGCUUGCUUCUCUGAUGUUAGCGGCGGACGGGUGAGUAACACGUGGAUAACCUACCUAUAAGACUGGGAUAACUUCGGGAAACCGGAGCUAAUACCGGAUGAUAUUUUGAACCGCAUGGUUCAAAAGUGAAAGACGGUCUUGCUGUCACUUAUAGAUGGAUCCGCGCUGCAUUAGCUAGUUGGUAAGGUAACGGCUUACCAAGGCAACGAUGCAUAGCCGACCUGAGAGGGUGAUCGGCCACACUGGAACUGAGACACGGUCCAGACUCCUACGGGAGGCAGCAGUAGGGAAUCUUCCGCAAUGGGCGAAAGCCUGACGGAGCAACGCCGCGUGAGUGAUGAAGGUCUUCGGAUCGUAAAACUCUGUUAUUAGGGAAGAACAUAUGUGUAAGUAACUGUGCACAUCUUGACGGUACCUAAUCAGAAAGCAACGGCUAACUACGUG